CCUGGGAAACUCACUUCCAUACCUCACCAUGGCUUUUCCAUACCAGUUGUCUUCUGUGUUGGUUACAGUGGAGAUGAUCGUCCUGAUAAUUAUCCUCAGCACAAAUUCAGCAUCAGGAUCAGGUUAGUACCAUCCAUGUCACCAUGUGCCUUACCUUCAAUUCAACAGUUGUCUACGCAUGGUGGCCAUCCUUGAAUCUCAAAUUAGACGGUUCAAACUGCUUUCGUCGACACUGACCUAUAAAAACUGAUGUCGGGAGAACACGAAAGUAAAUUAAUACUUCCUCUAUUUUUUUAUGACGCCAUUGAUUUUUAUACGUUCGUCUUAUUAAAAACUUUAUCUAAAUAUAUAAAAUUAUAAGUCACACUUAAAGUUCCUAUAGUAAUUUAAAUUAUAAUAAAAUAAUUAAUAAUUAUAUGUUUUUAAUAAGACAAAUGAUCAAACAUGAACAUAAAAGUUAAUGAUGUCAUAUAAAAAUUUGAACAGUGUCAUUAUAAUUAUACAAAGUUAAAGAUAUGUGUAUCUAAUAUACACGUGAGACACACAUGAGUCAAUAACACGUCGGCCAUGAUGACAUAUCUCUAAUUUAGGAAAAUUAUAAUGACAUUCUUAAAAUUUUUCCUAUAAAAAAUUGGAGGGAGUAUUAUGUUGUAACCAUUGGAUGCGUUCACUCACUGCAGAGUUCGAAAAUUCAAAACCGAGUUUAAUUUGAGAUUAAAAUUAGCUUUACCAAAAUUCGAUCAUCCUAAAUAGUUUUCAGCCCAAGUUUGGCAAUUGGUUGGCGACAUGCCAAAUAAGAUUAUCAAACUCUGAUGUGGAUCAUUUUGACCACGAACCAAACAUAACUUAUCUUACCAAGACUCUGUAUGACAAAUUUUGAUAAACCUGUAUGCUGGUAACGUCAAUUUUGACCACAAAUCAACUGAGUCAUAUGACUUUCCCACAUAUAAUAUUAUGAACAACUUAAGGCAUAUUUUUGUUAUGUUAAUACGUUGGACUGUAUACAUACACUUACUUUUGCACUCGCUUUGUAAAUCGGUUAAUUAAUCUAAAAAAUGUUGGCUCUAGUGCAACUCAUAUUAGUAAUUUUUGGAUCUAGUGUAAAAGAAAAAAAAUCUAAAGUGUGUACUUAAUUUUUUUGUCAUUCCUAAAUUUUGAUCUGACAUUGACUCUUUUUCUUAUUUUAGAUAUUUCUUUCUUACAUCAAUGUGGUAACCUUAAAACUUAGACCAUCAGACCAAGCGAACCUAAAGUUGCAUCACACCCAUGCACGGUGUUUUCUUACUGCAACAUAAUCCAAAAAUUGCACGACUGAUGCAAAUAAUUCUAGCAGAUACCGAUCCAAGGUGCCCACCGUGUGUCUGCUGCCAAUGCAGCUGCGGAUUCUGAAAGCAUGCACGCCAGAGAUGCCGACUCUGACAGGAAGUUCUCUUGCAUUGUAAUAUUUGUAUUAUCUUAAUUACAGAAGCAAAGUUUUAUUGAGAGUUGAGACAGUGCGUGCACUUUUUUUGGCUAAAUGGGCGAUGCCUCGGGGACCGUCUUAUGGAGGGCAAAUUAUCUAAAAAUAUGUGAUGAUGAGAUACAUUAUCCAAAUGUCUGAUGUUUUUUUACUUUCUCUGACCACAUUAAUUGAUAAACGUGGAGAAUUAUACAGACACUUUUCGUACAUGCUGCAGAUGUAAAGUACUCCCUCCGGUUUUCUUCAUUCG
rnacentral:lncRNA from 1 species